UCUUUGGUAGUAUAGUGGUUAGUAUUUCCGCCUGUCAGUUCACUCUGAACGCGGACGACCGGGGUUCAAUUCCCCGCCAAAGAG
rfam:Tuber melanosporum whole genome shotgun sequence assembly, scaffold_109, strain Mel28